rnacentral:lncRNA from 1 species
UUUGGAUUUUUAUUAGGCCGCUUAAAACUCGCUAACGGGCCUUGGGCCCAACCUACUUGAUAAAAAAAAACCUAGGUAUAAAAACUAAAGUUAUAAAAACUCUCCUCAUUUGAAACCCUAGGUAACAAAUGCGCACACCAGACCCCUCUUCCAACUUUCUCUGCAUCUCCUUCUUCUUUGAUGAAACCCUAUCUUUCUCAUUUUCUACAAGACACACACAACAUCAAUCCUGUUAUCUCUCUCGACUGAUCAUACAUAAAGCACAGACAUAAUAUAUGGUUGAUGUCUCUUCUGGAAACCUUAUCAACAUCACCAACACAACCCCCCCCUUUUCUUCUCCGGUCGGUCGACACCCACAGCCCCCUAAACCACCCCGCAACCCCUCUGUUGCUCGAUACUAAACGGCCGGCCACCACCAUUCGGUGGUGGCGUGCAGCAGCACCAACGCAGGGAACAAAGAGAGAGAAAGGAGGCCGGCGAUGAGCUGGCAAAAGUUACCAGCGCCGCCGCUACGGCGAUGGUGAUGUGAUGAAGAUGAUAUUGAUGUCAACGGAGGUGGUGGGGUUUGGGUGGUGUCACAGCGACGACAACAAUCAACACGGGCCCUGCUCCGAUGUCGGUGAUGACGACGGUAAUCAGGUGGCUCUGACCAAAACUCUGUUAUGAUGGCAGGGGUGUAAGGAAGCACAUGAUUCAAGUUCGGUUCGAUAAGAAGCAGGGUGGUGGCUCGGUUCAGUCUUGACUCGGGUCAACACCGGGUCAACUCGGUCAAUGCUGGUCAACUCAGGUCAACGACUCGGGUCAACACAGUCAAACUCGGCCAGCAAGAGUCAAACCACAGACACGAGUAAUUCGGUUCGGUUUUCGGUGUUCAGUCAAAACUAGGCAACCUCAGAUUCGACUCGGUCAACACCGGGUCAACUCAGUCAAUGCUGGUCAACUCAGGUCAACGAUUCGAGUCAACCGGUCAAACAGGUCAACGACAGUCAACACGAAGGACCCGGAAUGCUUUAGUUGCACGCUAGCGAGUUCACAUUAUUGGAAUGGCAUCAUGAAACCACGUUAAGCUAGCUUCGCACAGGAAUGUCAAGGUUGCAUUUUUAAAACUAAGGAACGGUUGGAAUAGGAGAACCCAUGGAAAUUCG